UGUUGUCGUAAUAGUAAUCUUGCUCAGUACGAGAGGAACAGCAGGUUCAGACAUUUGGUGUAUGUGCUUGGCUGAGAAGCCAAUGAGGCAAAGCUACCAUCUGCGGGAUUAUGACUGAACACCUCUAAGUCAGAAUCUCCCCUAAAAGUGACAAUAUCGCAGCGCCGAGGAGCCUCGAUAUGCCGAUGAUAGCCGGCACCCCCUUCACCGGGGGAGCCGGUGGGCAGAGCCACUCACUUAGAGACUGGAAGGCAGACGGAAUGAGGACGUGCCAUCUCUCUCCAAGUGCACCACAUGUUCGCGGGGAACCCGGUGCUAAAUCAUUUGUAGACGAUGGGGUUCUGGGUCAAGGUUUCGUGAGUAGCAGAGCAGCUACCUCACUGUGCUCUAUUGAAAGUCAUGCUGUGAGCCAAGGAAAA